rnacentral:lncRNA from 1 species
UUAUAUUAAAUUAUGAUUAAUGCUUUUUUGGGGAUAAAUUGAUAUAUUAAAAAUAAAAAUAUCAAAUUUAUUAUUAUCUAGUAUAUGAAACAAUGAUAAAAAAUCUAUAUUACAAAAAAUACGAUAAUUAAAAAAUAAAAAUACAUUCUCAAAAUCACAAAGCGUUGUCGUCUUCUUCCCCAUCUUAAGCUACAAAAUCAUUCGUAUUCCCAUCAUGUUCAGGAGUUUCCCAGCCAUCUCCGGCUUUGAGGAGCUUUUUUGUGAACGCCGGAACUCGGAAGUGCCGAGAACUCUUUUUUCUCCGAGCCAACUAGAUCACCUCGCCUUCUUCCUCCUCCAAUUCGAUACUGCAAUAGAGAAGCCCAGCAAGAGAAUACAUUAGAUCGAUAAAAAACAAUAUGAAACUAAUUAUAUAUGUGAAUUCAACCAAUGAAUACAUAUUGAAAAUAGCUCCGUACUAAUAAACAGGUCUCAGAUUUCAAAAUCGAGAUUCUCCCAUAUAGCCGAGAUGUCGUGGGUUGAAGCUGAGAUCCCCAAAUCAAAACUAAUUUGAUAAUCGAUUCAAUUGCAUGGUAGAAUUAGAAUAUGGUAUAGUUGGAUAAUCGAUUGAAGAAGAAAAAAAAAGACGACGAAAGAGACGACUAAGAAGAGGAGAAAGAGGGAAGAAGUGAAAAGAAGAGCUUAAAAAAGGGUUAAUUUGUGUCCGUUAGAUUCGUUUUCAUCAACGGUUCAUAUUGGAAACGUUGUGAUCCCUACUUUAUUGACUUAGCCAAUGAGAUA